GCUGGAGUGGUGAAAUUGGCAGACACGCAGCGUUCAGGGCGCUGUGCCCGCAAGGGCUUGAGGGUUCAAAUCCCUCCUCCAGCA
rnacentral:tRNA from 1 species